AACACUGUUAACCUGCGGUACCUGCGGAGGGAUCAUUACCGAGUGCGGGUGGCCCCCUGGGCGCCCAACCUCCCACCCGUGAAUACCUAAACCCUGUUGCUUCGGCGGUGCGCCUUGGCCCCUAGGUUAGGGGCCGCCGCCGCCGGAGACCACCUGAACUUCUUGUCUGAGCCCGAUGCAGUCUGAGCGUGAAUGGAUGAAUCAGUCAAAACUUUCAACAACGGAUCUCAGAUCGGAAGA
rnacentral:misc_RNA from 1 species